CUUGCGACCAUAUAGCGUGGAAACACCGUUAUCCGUGCGAUCACCGAAAUUAAGCAACGUUGAGCCUGGACAAUACCAAGAUUUGUGAUCUCUCGUGAAGACCACGUGCUACAA